rnacentral:rRNA from 1 species
AACGAACGCUGGCGGCAGGCUUAACACAUGCAAGUCGAGCGCCCCGCAAGGGGAGCGGCAGACGGGUGAGUAACGCGUGGGAAUCUACCCAGUCCUUCGGAAUAGCUCCUGGAAACGGGAAUUAAUACCGGAUACGCCCUUUUGGGGAAAGAGUUAUCGGGAUUGGAUGAGCCCGCGUUGGAUUAGCUAGUUGGUGGGGUAAUGGCCUACCAAGGCGACGAUCCAUAGCUGGUCUGAGAGGAUGAUCAGCCACACUGGGACUGAGACACGGCCCAGACUCCUACGGGAGGCAGCAGUGGGGAAUAUUGGACAAGGGGCGCAAGCCUGAUCCAGCCAUGCCGCGUGAGUGAUGAAGGCCCUAGGGUUGUAAAGCUCUUUCACCGGUGAAGAUAAUGACGGUAACCGGAGAAGAAGCCCCGGCUAACUUCGUGCCAGCCGCCGCAGUAACAC